rnacentral:rRNA from 1 species
UACGGAGGAUCCGAGCGUUAUCCGGAUUUAUUGGGUUUAAAGGGUGCGCAGGCGGGGGAUUAAGUCGGCGGUGAAAUUUUGCAGCUCAACUGUAAAAGUGCCUUCGAAACUGGUUUCCUUGAGUGUAGAUGAAGUAGGCGGAAUUUGUGGUGUAGCGGUGAAAUGCAUAGAUAACACGAGGAACUCCGAUUGCGCAGGCAGCUUACUAAACUACUACUGACGCUCAGGCACGAAGGCGUGGGGAUCAAACAGGAUUAGAUACCCUGGUAGUCCCU